rnacentral:sRNA from 1 species
UUUAAUUAAGGGAACAAAAUGGAUAUAUAACUUAGUAUAUGCAGAUUUUUUUUUUUUAGAAAAUGACAGCCAUCAAAAGGCGCGCAGCCAAAAUGGAUAUAUAACUUAGUAUAUGCAGAUUUUUUUUUUUUUUUGCUUUUUUAUCUCUUUAAGAAGAAAAAAAAAGUUAAACAUUUUCUCAACAUGUAAACAUCUGAUCGACAGACUUGACAUAUGACACAAUCUUAUGAAUUAACCAUAUUUUAUAUAA